UGACUGAAGAAGUGCAAGGACCUCUUGCAGUCAAGAAGCAAUUUGUUGAAUUUACCAUCAAGGAAGCUGCAAGGUUUAAAAGAGGAGUCUUAAUUCAGCAACUUGAGAAGGUAG